UAACAAGGAUUCCCCUAGUAACUGCGAGUGAAGCGGGAAAAGCUCAAAUUUAAAAUCUGGCGGCUUUGGUCGUCCGAGUUGUAUUCUAGAGAAGUGUUUUCCGCGUUGGACCGUGUAUAAGUCUCUUGGAAUAGAGCGUCAUAGAGGGUGAGAAUCCCGUCUUUGACACGGACUACCAAUGCUUUGUGAUACACUCUCAAAGAGUCGAGUUGUUUGGGAAUGCAGCUCAAAAUGGGUGGUAAAUUCCAUCUAAAGCUAAAUAUUGGCGAGAGACCGAUAGCGAACAAGUACCGUGAGGGAAAGAUGAAAAGCACUUUGGAAAGAGAGUUAAACAGUACGUGAAAUUGCUGAAAGGGAAACGCUUGAAGUCAGUCGCGUUAGCUAGAACUCAACCAGGCUUGCUUGGCGUAUUUUCUAGUUAACGGGCCAGCAUCAGUUUUGACCGCAGGAGAAGGGCCAGGGAAAUGUGGCAUCUUCGGAUGUGUUAUAGUCUCUGGUCGUAUACUGUGAUUGGGACUGAGGACCGCAGCACGCGCAAGCUGUGCUUAGGAUGCUGGCGU
rnacentral:rRNA from 1 species